UUAAGAAAGCAAGAGCGCACGGUGGAUGCCUAGGCACUAAUAGGCGAAGAAGGACGCGACUAACAGCGAAAUGCUACGGGGAGCAGUAAGUAGGCAAAGAUCCGUAGGUAUCCGAAUGGGGAAACCCACUAGUUAGAAGAGCUAGUAUCGUAUAAUGAAUACAUAGUUAUACGAGGCGAACCCGGGGAACUGAAACAUCUAAGUACCCGGAGGAAAAGAAAACAAAAGUAAUUCCCUAAGUAGAGGCGAUUGAAAGGGGAGGAGCCCAGCACCAAGAAGAGUUAGAAAAUCUUUUUAUAGUAGAAUUGUAUUGGAAAAGCAAGACAAAGAAGGUGAAAUCCCUGUAUACGAAAUAAAGAGAUCUCGGUGUCGGAGUAGGGCGGAGCACGAGGAAUUCUGUCUGAAGAAGUGAGGACCAUCUCAUAAGGCUAAAUACUCAUUAGUGACCGAUAGUGAACCAGUACUGUGAAGGAAAGGUGAAAAGAACCCCUGGCGGGGAGUGAAAAGAACCUGAAACCGUGUGCUUACAAACAGUUAGAGCCCGUCAAAGGGUGAUAGCGUGCCUUUUGUAGAAUGAGCCGGCGAGUUACGUUAAUGUGCGAGGUUAAGUUUUAAGGGACGGAGCCGAAGCGAAAGCGAGUCUGAAGAGGGCGGAAUAGUAGAUUGACGUAUACCCGAAACCGGGUGAUCUAGCCAUGAGCAGGUUGAAGCUUGGGUAAAACCAGGUGGAGGACCGAACCAGGGUCUGUUGAAAAAGACUUGGAUGACUUGUGGCUAGGGGUGAAAUUCCAAUCGAACCCGGAGAUAGCUGGUUCUCCCCGAAAUAGCUUUAGGGCUAGCGUUAUGGAGAAGAGUUAUACGAAGGUAGAGCACUGAAUGGGUGAGGGCCUCAUCUCGAGGUACUGAUCUCAAUCAAACUCCGAAUGUCGUAUAAUAUACAUAGCAGUAAGACUAUGGGUGAUAAGGUUCAUAGUCAAAAGGGAAACAGCCCAGACCGCCAGUUAAGGUCCCAAAAUUAUGCUAAGUGGGAAAGGAGGUGGAGUCGCAUAGACAACUAGGAGGUUGGCUUAGAAGCAGCCAUCCUUUAAAGAGUGCGUAAUAGCUCACUAGUCGAGUGAUUCUGCGCCGAAAAUGUAUCGGGGCUAAGCAUAAUACCGAAGCUGCGGAAUUAGGAAAGAAAGCCUAAUUGGUAGGGGAGCGUACUAAACACGAAGAAGGUUGACCGGGAGGGCAGCUGGAGAGUUUAGCAGUGAGAAUGCCGGUGUGAGUAGCGAUAAGAUGGGUGAGAAUCCCAUCCGUCGGAAGCCUAAGGGUUCCAGGGGUAAGGCUCGUCCGCCCUGGGUAAGUCGGGACCUAAGGUGAGGCCGAAAGGCGUAGCUGAUGGAUAUCAGGUUGAUAAUCCUGGACCACCAUAGAGCUGAAGGAGUGACGGAGGAGGGAAGUUAGGAUGGACUGGUGGAAUAGUCUAAUGAAGCACAAAGAGGGAUACGUAGGAAAAACCGCGUAUUAGAACCUUGAAGUGUAAACCGCAAGGCCUAAUGGACCACACUUCCAAGAAAAGCUUCUAGGAAUACUUUAUGGUGCCCGUACCGUAAACGGACACACGUAGGCGAGGAGAGAAUCCAAAGACGCGCGAGAUAAUUCUUGUUAAGGAACUCUGCAAAAUGACCCUGUAACUUCGGGAUAAAGGGGACUCUAGAGAUAGAGGCGCAGAAAAUAGGCCCAAGCGACUGUUUAACAAAAACAUAGGUUUCUGCUAAAGCGAAAGCUGAUGUAUAGGAGCUGACGCCUGCCCAGUGCUGGAAGGUUAAGAGGAGAUGUAAGUCGCAAGGCAAAGCAUUGAAUUGAAGCCCCAGUAAACGGCGGCCGUAACUAUAACGGUCCUAAGGUAGCGAAAUUCCUUGUCAGGUAAGUUCUGACCCGCACGAAAGGCGUAACGAUUUGGGCGCUGUCUCAACAAGAAACUCGGUGAAAUCAUAGUACCUGUGAAGAUGCAGGUUACCCGCGAUCAGACGGGAAGACCCCAUGGAGCUUCACUGCAGCUUAAUAUUGAUAUUGGGUGUGUGAUGUACAGGAUAGGUGGGAGACGAGGAAGCGAGUACGCUAGUAUUCGUGGAGUCAACGUUGGGAUACCACCCUUCAUACAUUUAGUAUCUAACUAGUAUCCAUGAGCUGGGUAUAGAACAGUGUUAGGUGGGCAGUUUGACUGGGGCGGUCGCCUCCCAAAGAGUAACGGAGGCGCCCAAAGGUUCCCUCAGAAUGGUUGGAAAUCAUUCAAAGAGUGCAAAGGCAGAAGGGAGCUUGACUGCGAGACGGACAGGUCGAGCAGGAACGAAAGUUGGGCUUAGUGAACCGGCUGUACUGAAUGGAAAGGCAGUCGAUCAACGGACAAAAGCUACCCUGGGGAUAACAGGCUGAUCUCCCCCAAGAGUUCACAUCGACGGGGAGGUUUGGCACCUCGAUGUCGGCUCGUCGCAUCCUGGGGCUGGAGAAGGUCCCAAGGGUUGGGCUGUUCGCCCAUUAAAGCGUCACGCGAGCUGGGUUCAGAACGUCGUGAGACAGUUCGGUCCCUAUCUGUCGUGGGCGUAGGAAAUUUGAAGGGAGUCGUCCCUAGUACGAGAGGACCAGGAUGAACGUACCGCUGGUGAAUCAGUUGGCCUGCCAGGGCCACAGCUGGGUAGCUACGUACGGCCGGGAUAAACGCUGAAAGCAUCUAAGCGUGAAGCCCCCCCUGAGAUGAGAUUUCCCAUUAGAGAUAAGUAAGACCCCUUAGAGAUGAUGAGGUAGAUAGGUCAGAGAUGUAAGCACUGUGAGGUGUUGAGUUGACUGAUACUAAUAGGUCGAGGACUUAACCUU
rnacentral:rRNA from 1 species